CUAAAAAUUUAUGAAUUUCAAAUAACUCAACGUACAUAUGUACAGAUGGGUAAAUUAUUGGUUAAAUUGGGAAAAAAUCCACAGCUCAGGUGAGAUUUGAACUCACGACCCUUAUUCGCUAGACAAGUGCUUUACCAACUAAGCUACCGAGCCAAUUAAUGACCCGGCAACCUAGUUGUCAUAAGGUUCAAUUCUAAUCUCAUCGAUCUAUAUCAUCUUCCUCUAAACCGCAAAUAUAACCAUCCCUGUUGAACAUAUGUACGAAGAGCGAAAGCGAUUUGUUUAUUGUUUGAAACUGUUUGCCUAUCGUACAGGCAACGCUUCCUCAACCACUUGUAGAGGAAGAACAAUGCUACCUGGAAGGCGAUCAAACGCGUCGUUCGCAUUCUGUUUGAUACGACGGAUAACUACGUA